UUGGGUAGAUAUAUUCUAAUAUUUUUUUUGAUUAUUUUCUUUGCUUCUCACUAAGGACAUUAUUUUGUGUUAUCAACUUCAAAUUACAGAGGCAGUUGGAUACUUACUUUCUCCUUGCUCACAUGUGCUCUGUCAAGCUUAAAGAAUGGACGCUUGUCCUGUUUACUUCUAUUAAGAAGUUCUAAGGACCAGGCUUCUGAUGUUGGUGUGCUUCUUGCCGAUACUGAUGGGAUCUUCCACUCAAUCAAGAGUCGAUCCGAGCAAGAAAGAGAACCAGAUGCGAGCACAAAUAAAACUUCUUCCGAGGGAAGCAAGUACACUGUCACAGAUAAUAUUGAGGAUGAUAAUAAAGAUUAAUCUGUUUAUGAUUGUGGUUUAUUGGCUAAGAUGGAGUAGUGUUCAGAAUGAAUAUAUGUAUGCGGUUGACUAAUAAUUUUAAUUAGAAGAUAUUUAUGUAGGAUAUAAUAUUUUAAUUUAGUUUUCCGUAGAGUAUUAGUAGUAAAUUCUAAGUGAUCUCAUGUUUAUUUUGAUAAAGCUAUGCUUAAUUUAGUGUGAGAUGUAUGAAUAUUCAAAAUUAACUUCUAUUAUAGUA